ensembl:lncRNA
UGAAGUUUAACCUGUGACGUAGAGGAGCUCGUUACCAUGGAGCCUGGCGACAGACGAAGGGGUUCCCCUCUAUGGCAGCACUUUGAGCUGAUCUCUCCCAGUAAGCUCCACACUGAGUCCUGACUUCAGUGGGUGAAUCCAUCCAGCAGAGACGUGGAGACACAAAGACUGAGAGCUGCUGGACAGUUUCAGGUGUUACAUAUCAGUUCAGGGCAGGAGAAACGCAGAUCCUUUGACAAGUCUUUUGCUGCCCCCAUGACUCGGGACCGAACAACGUCGGUGCAGCACUGGACCUGCAGCGUCAGUCUGAAGGCCUGAAACUCCUCCCACGCUGAUCACAGACAUCAGCAGGAUCGAGGACGACCCCCCCCCCCAAGUCUGAGGACGUUCCCCGCCACAUGAAUGGGGGACAGGAGGCGCAGCUUCCAGCCCAGCUGGUGGGAAAGUCCUCCGUGGGUGGACUUCUCUGUAACUAUGGACUCUGCCUGUUGUCAUGCGUGCAGACGUUUCAGUCCAUAGACAUUUCAGCCAGUGCUUUUUAAACAUUAACUGUGCACAUGUGCGGGAUGUGAAAUCUUCUGUUUCAUUGUUAAAUGUUCAUUCACUUUGUUUGUGCUCCAAAUAAAUUCCCUUCAUAGAUGAAGCGGUUCAGUUUUGUCCUCUUGGUUUGGUUCAAUGCCCCCAUGAAAAAACACCCUGAG